rnacentral:rRNA from 1 species
UACGGGAGGCAGCAGUGGGGAAUAUUGGACAAUGGGGGCAACCCUGAUCCAGCAAUGCCGCGUGUGUGAAGAAGGUCUUCGGAUUGUAAAGCACUUUCGACGGGGACGAUGAUGACGGUACCCGUAGAAGAAGCCCCGGCUAACUUCGUGCCAGCAGCCGCGGUAAUACGAAGGGGGCUAGCGUUGCUCGGAAUGACUGGGCGUAAAGGGCGCGUAGGCGGUUGUUACAGUCAGAUGUGAAAUUCCUGGGCUUAACCUGGGGGCUGCAUUUGAUACGUGAUGACUAGAGUGUGAGAGAGGGUUGUGGAAUUCCCAGUGUAGAGGUGAAAUUCGUAGAUAUUGGGAAGAACACCGGUGGCGAAGGCGGCAACCUGGCUCAUAACUGACGCUGAGGCGCGAAAGCGUGGGGAGCAAACAGGAUUAGAUACCCUGGUAGUCCACGCUGUAAACGAUGUGUGCUGGAUGUUGGAUGACUUAGUCAUUCAGUGUCGUAGUUAACGCGAUAAGCACACCGCCUGGGGAGUACGGCCGCAAGGUUGAAACUUAAAGGAAUUGACGG